GCGGGGGUCAGCAUUGUGGGCUCCUCCUGUUUCAGAGGAAGCACUGUGUAGACCACAUCGCUAGGCUCGUCUCUCUGGGGCCUUCAGAGUAUCUGUGUUCACCUGGGACGGGCUCCCUUACAGGCGGACAUGAAGUACGUUAUUUAAGAGAGACCAGACAUGUGGAUUUUUCGGUGAAAUCAGCCAGACUUUAAAUGUUUAGAAAAUGUGGACGGGCCUCCAGGUUGAUCAGCGUUCUUGGGACAGGUACCAGGCGGAGGCUGUCCACCUCCUCCAGCAGAAUGCCUCGGCCGCUGCCAGGGCCUUGCCCGAGGUGCACGUGCUGGCCAACUGCUGCAUCCUCAGGAAAACGUGGCAGGAGCUGAGCCAGCAACAUGUUCCGUGUGCAGACCUGGGCCUGGCUGUGCAAGGCACGAUCCAGCACAUUGAGGACCACAGCCGGGACAACCUCCUGCCUCGAGUCAGGGCCUUGUGCCAGAGUCUGCUAAGGGGCCACUUUGGGAAGAAGGACAAGGAUCUGGUUGGAGCUCUGCAGUCCCUGUGGCAGGGCCUGGAGGGCUGCCCCAACAUGCACUCUACUCCCACGUACAAGGACCUCGGCUUGACCAACCCACAGGAGUCCAUCAUGGGGAUCUUCCAGUCCCGUGAGAACAAGAGCAGGGAGACUGUGGAUGACUGGCUGGCCUCCUUCAGGGACAGAUUCCCAGGUUAUGUGAGCAUUCAGGACCAGCCAUGCAGCUCUGUGGACCUGGACAAGGAGAUUGAGGUCAAGGGAAGCUACUGCCGCUGCUGCUGCUGACACCCCCAGCUCUGGACAAGGUGACCACGGGUGCAAAGCUCCAGAGCACUCCUCCAGGGGAGGCGAUGGGGGAGGGUCCCGCCCUGGGCAGGGUGGGGAGCCAGGUCAAGGGGCACAGUGGAGCAGGGUCCAGCUGCUUUCGGUAGACAAGGCGUCACCUUGUGCUCUAGGCCAGCAGUUCUCAGGAGCUGGUCUCAGGACCCCUUUACUCUGAGCAAUUACUGAACUAAAGAAGUAUAGCUAAUGUGAUUAUACUGAAGAGCUACCGCAUUAGAAAUUAAGACCAAGAAAUAUUUAGUAAUUCAUUUAUUUGUUAAAAUUAGUAAUUCAUUAAAACAGAAAAUUACUAUUUAUUAAAUAACUAUAAACAAAGUAAAUGAUAAAAUGUAUUAUUUAUAUGUGACUAAAUAGAUUUGGAAAUAAAUUAGUAUCUAUAUAAAAAUAAUACUAAUUU
rnacentral:lncRNA from 1 species